UAAAUAUUAGCUUAGCUUUGUAAUAGAUAUAUUUUUAGAAGCUAGGAUUUUAAGUGAGUGUAGUGGUAGCUCUUGUAGCCAACCUUCGGGUUUGGAUUUAUAGCACCCUUCGAGGUAUUUAUCAAUAUACAGAUAUACCUUGGAAAAUAUUGUGUGUUGGUUUAAUAUUUUCAUAUCCUCAGAAAUCGACCCGAUAUAUAUCCGGAACACGAAACCCAUUACAGGACUGCAAUUUAUUUAUCCGCAAGAUUCGAAAGAAUUUUAAAUUGUAGUGAGUAU
rnacentral:lncRNA from 1 species